rnacentral:lncRNA from 1 species
UAACUGAUAAAAGGCAUUCUUUUUGCCAUAGUUCUUGUUUCUAGUCUCCUUUGAAAGACAGACAUUCCCAAUUUCAGAAUGCACUAGAGCUUAUUGAAAAUUCAAAGUUCAGGACCACAAAUAAAAAUUGUGCUCAGUAACCAUCAUUUAGAGCAUGCAGGCGCCAGGAUUCUGAUGAGAUCUCUGGGUCACAAGUUGGGGAAGCCACUGGCAAGUUAGUUGUGAAUCUUGAGGAAAACUUCGGAGUGUUUAUGUUUAUCCCCUAAAUUGCCUCCCAUCAUGUGGUGUCACUGCUGAUGCAAUCACACGUAUGAAGGGGCACAGUUCUGAGCAGUAGCACUAGUCUUACAUAAUAGGAAGAAAUAGGGCUGUUAAUUCAUCGCAUCUAUGAAAAACUGGUCUUGCUAGGUGUACAAACACAGAACACAAAGGCACUGGCCUAUGUACAUAGUUGAUGGUCACCAUGCAGUCUUUCUUGCUAUUGCUGUUGAAUCGGAGUGAACACCAAGAGGCUCAGUAACUGAUGCCACAAGACUUCAGCUGAAGGGUAAAAGGCACGUGCUUCCUUUCAACACUUAAAUGCUGACGUGAGCAUUGUAUGUGCGCAGCAUAUGUCUUUCAGGUGCGCUCAGAGGCCAGACAAAGGCAUCCGAUCUAGAGCUGGAGUUUCAGAGGUUGUAAGCCAUUCCCUGAGUGCUCCAAGUUGAACCUGGGUUCUCUGCCAGAGCAGCCAGUGCUCUCAACCACAAAAGCAUCUCUCCCAUCCAGCCUGCAAGCAUGCUAAAGACCCAACCAGACCGAACCAGCUAACCAACCAGCCAACCAGCCAACCAGCCAACCAGCCAACCAGCCAACCAGCCAACCAGCCAACCAACCAGCAA